UAUCCCAGCACUGAAGUCACAGUCACAGCCAUGGACACAGCCCUUGCAUCACAAAUGGAAGAGGGGAAGGAUUCAUUGGUGCUGCCUGAGCAAGAAAUCAGAAUCACUGCAAGGACUGAACAAUCCCACUCAUUUCACGAAUGCCAUUAGCUCUGGGUCUCAAUUACUCCAGCUGAUCUGUUAAAUGAAGCUCUCUCUUUGAUGGCCAAGCAUGAAUGGGAACAGGAGAAUCAGCCCAGCUCAGAGCACGGAAUUCAGAGCAUUAAGGCAAGGAAUGGAGCACUGUUGCCAGAGUCCUGCCCCGAAGAGCCUUGUGCACCCUGAUCACGAAAGAGACACCUCAGAGGAGCUGGAUCUUGCAGCUGCCCCCAGCUGCAGGACACAAACCCACUCUCACACACGUUUCACCCUUCCUUCUGCUACCAGCUGACAGAACCGCCGCAUCAAAAAGUUGCCACAAGGACAUUGCGCCAUCAUUUACGAACAAAAUCUCUGUGCCAAGCCCCAUUUCAGACGGGGUAGCUUCACCCUCCCCGCCUCCAGCGCUAUUUUACCUUGUCAGCCCUCAGUUUUGCCAGAAAUAUAUUGUUUGGCAGCCAAUUAUAAAUAAAAGCUGCCUUAUAAAUAACGUUUUACAGCUUAUUGCGACCAAUAAACCACAGCGCAGAGUGUUUUGAUGCCUUCCAAAAAUGAGCUAUGACACAUUAAUAUGAAAUCUAUUUUUCCAUUUUCCCUAUCCUAAAAGUUUACAGGCAGCUCUUUUCUCUCACCCCUCAGAUAAACUUAAAGCAUCAUUUCUGUUUGCUGGUGAUUUAGCCAGGCACAUAGCCAUGGUAGCACAGCCUUAUAAGUGACAAUAUAACAUAAAUCUGGUCAAUAGUGACACAAUAUCUCUCUUAUUUUUGGUAUUGAAUGUACAAACAUGGCACUGCUUAUGAAAUGCAUCUUUGCACCUUAACAGCAGGCUGCAUUUCUGCUUUUUUUCUUUUUUUUUUUUUUUUUUUUUUUCCUCGUGGAUAAUUGAUAUAAUCACGACCCAAAGGUGCAGAAAAAAUAAUGUGCUCAUGAAUUACUUCUGAGUGUUUCUAGUGAAAGGUAAAUAUGCAGGGCAGUAACAGUUAUGGCUCUGUGGUUUUAAGCAAUUUUAAAUGACUGCAUUUUGCUUUGAUUCACAACUAUUUCGUGGUAACAGGAAAAUCAUAGUGUAUGUAAUCACAUACCAACCAGAAUCACUUUUUCCUUGAAUAUUUGCAAGGCAAUUCUCCUUUUCUGGGA
rnacentral:lncRNA from 12 species